AGCACCUGGGAGAGGCUUGCUGUGAAAAUUAUGGCGGUCUGAUAACCUGAAAAUCAGGUUUCUGAGAACAGUUAUAAAAAAGCAUAGUGUAAUUUUCUUGCGAAUUCAGAUAGUGUUUGUAAGCUGAAGUUAGUUUCCGUGUUCUUGGGUGUUGUUUAUGUGCUUAUAUUUGUAAAUUAUUUGAAAAUACUGAUUAUUCAUUUUAUGUUGAGUUUUAUCAAAGCUACAAGAGCUUAGUUUGCAUUUCUUGCUGUGCCAGAUGGACGCCUUUCUGAAACAGCAGCUGAACAGCUGGUUGCCAAAAUGACUAAUGAAACAGACAUACCUUGCACUUGAGUUCGCACGUUCAUAUGGGCCAAGCACUUAAAUGGUUAUGAAAAAAGAAAGAUUAGCCACCAUAAUGCUGAUCAUAGACCAGAAUUAGCAGUUUCCAGGGGAACAGUUUUGCAUUCUAUAGUGAUGACAGAAAAAGAAAAAAAAAUCAGUCGUCUGUGUCAAACAGCUGUCAGCCAUCCAAUGAGGUAGCAAAUGGCAGGAAAUCUCUCAUGCAAAGAUCACAUGGAAUACCAUAUCCAGGAAAAGAUCAGAUAACUACUGCAGGUUCAGAAGUAUCUAGAAAAUGUACUGGUCUUUUGGAACUAGACCAUACUCUUCUUGAUGUGUCUGUUCCAGAGACACAAAAACUCACACGUUGUUAGCUGGGCACAGUUUUUUUCUUAGUAAAACUCACGAAGGGACUUGUAUAUCAAAAAAUUUGCAUUUGCACCGGGAAUGAGUCCUUUUGCAAGAUUAAGUGAAAAAAACACCAUUUAGCAAGAUGGAAAAAACUAACAGUUCAGACAGCUUUUGCUCUUUGUGGGCAGACAACCUCAAUUUGCAUGCAGAUGUGUGCAGGGCUUUGUUCAGCUUCAUCAAAUAACAUGGAAUAUGCAGAAAAAUCUCUUCCUCUAAAUUUCUUAAGAGAGAAUGCAUUAUCUCUUCAAAACAAGUGUUUCUCUAAGAUUCGGUCUCAUACCAGUCAACAGAAGACGGUCAUUAUGAAUGAAUGUGAAGGAAAGCAUCUUGAGAUCACCAGAGUUAUGUUGGGCCAACCUCCAGCUGUUGACCAGCCACAAAACCUCCAGGAAAUAUACUUUGAAAGCUUGGAUGAAGGAGAGACAAAGGCAGAGAUAUGUCAUCUCCAACCUCUUCCUGCUGUAUGUAAUGAUGAUGAUUAAUAUACAGCUGCAAAGGCUCCACAUGAAACUACGGAUAGCUGUUUUGGGGCCCCCCGAUUGAUAGUUCUGAUGAAGACAGUGCAGAAAGAAUUGCAAUGACAGGGUUUAAAAAUAGAUUUGAUUGGACAGUUUUUGUAUUCAGUCUUCCUAAGAACGUCUCUUCAUUCCAAACAAAAAAUAAAAAACGUUUUAGUUUUGCCAGGUCGGAAGGCAAGGCAAUGUUUCCUUCAGAAAAAAGACCAACAGCAAUUGAAAAUGCAGUAGGAGAGAAACAUAUACAAGAUAAUAAAGAGGAUGACUUGAAGAAUUCCACGUUUUGCAUAAUGGCUGGCACUACCCAUGGAGGUAGAAGUAUUACAGAUAGCAACAAGGGGCAGACUCUCCUAAGUCAAAGGAAAAAGUAGAUGACUUGGAAGAUUUGUUAUUAAAUUUUGCAGUUUUGAAAGGACAGACAGGACAGAAAAACAAGAAAAGAUCUGAAGAUCAGACAGAAGAAGAAGACAAGAGGAAAAACUGAUGGUAGAAGUGAGAAAAUGGAUUUGCACAGAGCAGAGGGAUAGCAUCUUUACUGAAUCAAGUGUCGACAAGAAUAUUGGUAGUAAAAUAGGGCUACAGUCACCUGCAAAAGGCUUUACUAUAGAAAGUACUUGUCUGAUGCUGAACUUAGUAGUCAGUCCUUCAGUAACCUGUCUGUCCAUUAAGGUCUGUUCUAAUUGUUAAAAUCUCAACUGUCCUAAUACAAAUUCAUGCAGUGAAUAUGGCUAUACACUUUUCAGUAUCACUUAUCAGUAAACUCUAGGAAAUACAAUGUGGAACAGCAGACUGAUGAGCAGAAGGAAGGUGUAUUAAAUCAAAUAAGCACAUCUACUACACAAGCUUUGAAAAGUAGCUUAGAUGAAACUCCCCAACUAAGAAAAGUGUUGUGCUGGGAGGAGGAACCAACAUUAAGUUCAAAUCGCAAAAUGGGUGUUUUGGAUGAAUAUUAUUUCUAUUUGAAGGUGCUGAGUAUGAUUAAAAGUCUUUAGCCCAAAGAGAAAUGAACUAUCUUUUCUCCACGAAUAUAAUGGGUUUUCUGAAGGGAAUACAGUUUACAGGCAUCAUGGAGACAAAGUGGUUGAACAAGAUCAGAUGGAAGAAACUAACAAUGACUAACUAACAAAACUAGCAAAAAAAGCUAACAAAACUAACAAGAUCAUGCAAACUAAGUAAGAGCAGUGAUGUGGAACAAAAGACCAUACAGCUUGAGGAUUAGAGCUUUGAAGGAAAAUUUGCUGCAGAAUGUGUUUUUUCAAAACCUUUGGAUAGUCCUGAGACAGGAAACUCUGUGAAACAGAAAUCAUUAGGACAAAGUAACUGGUCCAAGGAGGCACUGGGAGAAAUCCAGCCUUGCAUGGUCAUCUUACGUAUGUGGAGAGC